rnacentral:tRNA from 1 species
CGGGGCGUGGCGCAGUCCGGCAGCGCGCGUGAAUGGGGUUCACGAGGUCCCGGGUUCAAAUCCCGGCGCCCCGA